rnacentral:lncRNA from 1 species
GGAAGGUGUGCACUAUUGUAGGCCUAUGCUCCAUUUGAAAUAUUGUCAGGCAGUCAGGAAUGAGUGACCAUUAAAGCCAAUCUCGGGGCAACCAUGUGCUGUGUGCACUGACAGUCAACAGGCAUAACGUCACUCUCCCGAAAUACGCGUCCAACAGAACUACAUCCCCCAGAAUUCCCAUCACGCUCUGCCAUUGGUGGCCGGAGUUGUCACAAGUGCAUACAGGUGACCAGGGACGCUCCGAACUCCGCUGACAACAUCACAGCCAGCGGGACGAAAACAAUCAGCAGCUGGAGAGCCACGGGAGAGUAGCAGCCAUUCUACUGAAAUUAUAACAACACACAAAGACGCUUCUUUCAUUUAUAUUUUUUUGCGUAGUAUGUGUGUGAGGGUCCCAGCCGUUCCGUGGACAGUAUCGGAGCGCACUGGUGGAAGAGCCACCUAGUUUCCAGAACCUGACUCUAACUUCGUAUCGUCUGACCUUCAUAGCGGUUUGCAGCCCACCCUCUCCGGGGUGUCUAGAGAUGUAGAGAUCAGCGUGAGGAGCACAGCCCCAUCUUUCCCAGCAGCACUUUCUCACCAAGAGCUUCCUCACUCUCUCGGGCUGGACUGCAGUGCGUCUGCGUCGGCUCGCCCUCCCCUCCCCCCUCGCCCCCCAGCCAUGGCCUCACGAAUAGGGCUGCGGCUGCAGGUAAACACAUUUUGGACUGAUUGAUUUAUUACAUAGUACACUAUGUAUACAGUAGAUGUAUUAAUUGACUGACUGAUGUCUUGACUGACUGACUGAUUGAUGGAUGUAUUGACUGACUGAUCUAUUGACGGACUGACUGAUGUAUUGACUGACUGACUGAUUGAUGGAUGUAUUUGACUGCCUGACUGACUGACUGACUGACUGAUUGAUGUAUUGACUGACUGACUGACUGGUGUAUUGACUGACUGACUGACUGGUGUAUUGACUGACUGACUGACUGAUGUAUUGACUGACUGACUGAUGGAUGUAUUUGACUGACUCACUGACUGACUGAUGAAUUGACUGACUGACUGACUGAUGUACUGACUGAUUGAUGAAUGUAUUUGACUGACUGACUGAUGUAUUGACUGACUGACUGAUUGAUGGAUGUAUUUAACUGACUGACUGAUGUAUUGACUGACUGACUGAUUGAUGGAUGUAUUUAACUGACUGACUGAUGUAUUGACUGACUGACUGACUGACUGAUUGACAGAUGUGUUUGACUGACUGACUGAUGAAUGUAUUUGACUGACUGACUGACUGAUGUACUGACUGACUGAUUGAUGUAUGUAUUUGACUGACUGAUUGACGGAUAUAUUUGACUGACUGACUGACUGAUUGAUGUAUUUGACUGACUGACUGAUGGAUGUAUUUGACUGACUGACUGACUGAUGUAUUUUACUGACUGACUGACUGAUGGAUGUAUUUUACUGAUUGACUGACUGAUGGAUGUAUUUUACUGAUUGACUGACUGAUGGAUGUAUUUGACUGACUGACUGACUGAUGCAUUUGACUGACUGACUGAUGUAUUGACUGACUGACUGACUGACUGAUGUAUUGACUGACUGACUGAUGGAUGUAUUUUACUGACUGACUGACUGAUGGAUGUAUUUGACUGACUGACUGAUGUAUUGACUGACUGACUGAUGUAUUUUACUGACUGAUGUAUUUUACUGACUGAUGUAUUUUACUGACUGAUGUUUUU